rnacentral:tmRNA from 2 species
GGGGGUGAACGGUCUCGACUUUAGUUGUUGAGUCAGGUGAAGCGGGCCGAGGAAGCCGGGAUGAUCUCGUAAACCAUGAAACCCGCGCAACACAUAAGUGCAGAUGCAAAUCGCACUGAUUUCGCUAUCGCUGCAUAAGCGGUAAGUGAAUCCGUUAACCCAAGAGUGCUCUCGGCUUGGAUGUUAGCGUCGCUAGAGAGCUCACUUGAUAAUGGUGUUACAGACAUUGUCGGGGAAAUAAAUCUGUAACUGAGUUCGUUGACUACAUGUGUUUGUGAGAGUCAGGACUGAGAAAGCGACUAGAACACUACGCCCGUAGAAGCCCUGAUUUUGCUCUAGAGGACCCGGGUUCGAUUCCCGGCACCUCCACCA